rnacentral:rRNA from 1 species
AAGAUAUAGUCGGGCCCUCUGGGAGACCAGAGGUAUUCAUUCACUGGAUUCAGUACGCGCUGGAACUUAAACCGGCGCUACUUUUCCGUGAGGAAGUAACAAACCGUUCCGUAGGUGAACCUGCGGAAGGAUCAUU